CACGUAGGGGACGAGCGUUGUCCGGAAUCAUUGGGCGUAAAGAGCGCGUAGGCGGCCCUGUAAGUCCGCUGUGAAAGUCAAGGGCUCAACCCUUGGAUGCCGGUGGAUACUGCAGGGCUAGAGUCCGGAAGAGGCGAGUGGAAUUCCUGGUGUAGCGGCGAAAUGCGCAGAUAUCAGGAGGAACACCGAUGGCGAAGGCAGCUCGCUGGGACGGUACUGACGCUGAGGCGCGAAAGCGUGGGGAGCAAACAGG
rnacentral:rRNA from 1 species